UACGAAGGGGGCGAGCGUUGUUCGGAAUUACUGGGCGUAAAGGGCGCGUAGGCGGCGACCCAAGUCAGAUGUGAAAGUCCUGGGCUUAACCUGGGGACUGCAUUUGAUACUGGGUUGCUUGAAUUCGGGAGAGGAUAGUGGAAUUCCCAGUGUAGAGGUGAAAUUCGUAGAUAUUGGGAAGAACACCGGUGGCGAAGGCGGCUAUCUGGACCGACAUUGACGCUGAGGCGCGAAAGCGUGGGGAGCGAACAGG
rnacentral:rRNA from 1 species